rnacentral:rRNA from 1 species
CAAACCAAAGCUGGCGACCGGCGCACGGGUGAGUAACACGUAUCCAACCUGCCCCAUACUCGGGGAUAGCCUUUCGAAAGAAAGAUUAAUAUCCGAUAGCAUAUAUUUCCCGCAUGGGUUUUAUAUUAAAGAAAUUCGGUAUGAGAUGGGGAUGCGUUCCAUUAGUUUGUUGGGGGGGUAACGGCCCACCAAGACUACGAUGGAUAGGGGUUCUGAGAGGAAGGUCCCCCACAUUGGAACUGAGACACGGUCCAA